rnacentral:rRNA from 1 species
UUUCCGGUUGAUCCUGCCGGACCUGACUGCUAUCGGAUUGAUACUAAGCCAUGCGAGUCUUUGCAGUAAUGCAAGGCAUACGGCUCAGUAACACGUAGUCAACUUACCCUAUGGACGAGGAUAAUCUCGGGAAACUGAGCAUAAUACUCGAUAGAUCAUAAUGCCUGGAAUGGUUUAUGGUUGAAAUGAUUCGUCGCCAUAGGAUGGGACUGCGGCCUAUCAGCUUGUUGGUGAGGUAAUGGCCCACCAAGGCGAUUACAGGUACGGGCUCUGAGAGGAGAAGCCCGGAGAUGGGUACUGAGACAAGGACCCAGGCCCUAUGGGGCGCAGCAGGCGAGAAAACUUUGCAAUGUGCGAAAGCACGACAAGGUUAAUCCGAGUGAUUUCUGCUAAAGAAAUCUUUUGCAAGUCAUAAAACCACUAGUGAAUAAGGGGUGGGCAAGUUCUGGUGUCAGCCGCCGCGGUAAAACCAGCACCUCAAGUGGUCAGGAGGAUUAUUGGGCCUAAAGCAUCCGUAGCCGGCUCUGUAAGUUUUCGGUUAAAUCCAUGUGCUCAACGCAUGGGCUGCCGAAAAUACUGCAUAGCUAGGGAGUGGGAGAGGUAGACGGUACUCGGUAGGAAGGGGUAAAAUCCUUUGAUCUAUCGAUGACCACCUGUGGCGAAGGCGGUCUACCAGAACACGUUCGACGGUGAGGGAUGAAAGCUGGGGGAGCAAACCGGAUUAGAUACCCGGGUAGUCCCAGCUGUAAACGAUGCAGACUCGAUGAUGCAUUGGCAUAUAGCCAGUGCAGUGUCGCAGGGAAGCCGUUAAGUCUGCCGCCUGGGAAGUACGUA